rnacentral:rRNA from 1 species
UGACGGUACCUGAAGAAGAAGCACCGGCUAACUACGUGCCAGCAGCCGCGGUAAUACGUAGGGUGCGAGCGUUAAUCGGAAUUACUGGGCGUAAAGCGUGCGCAGGCGGUUUCGUAAGUCAGAUGUGAAAGCCCCGGGCUUAACCUGGGAAUUGCGUUUGAAACUACGAGGCUAGAGUGUGUCAGAGGGGGGUAGAAUUCCACGUGUAGCAGUGAAAUGCGUAGAGAUGUGGAGGAAUACCGAUGGCGAAGGCAGCCCCCUGGGAUAACACUGACGCUCAUGCACGAAAGCGGGAGCAAACAGGAUUAGAUACCCUGGUAGUCCACGCCCUAAACGAUGUCAACUAGUUGUCGGGAGGGUAACCCUCUUGGUAACGCAGCUAACGCGUGAAGUUGACCGCCUGGGGAGUACGGUCGCAAGAUUA